CCUGAGGCGGCUGAGCACUAGGUCUGUGAAGCGCUUGAGAUGAUCCUGUGUUCCCUUUGUACAGCAUUGCUUGAUUAGCUUCCUGCUGACUUCAUCCUGUCGUCCGAUGGCUUUCUGUUGACUGUCCCCUUUUCUGCCUGCAAGCCGUAUCAACCUGUCUCUUCAUCUCAGCACCCAGAGCAGCCAUGAGUCUGCAUCCACCACUGUUCACUGCAAGGAGAGGCUCUGAUUAAGGCUGAGAGUGGUAUCUGUCUACAGAUAUGAGCAGAUAUUCGGAAAGCAAUUCGGAACCCGGUCAAUGUAGCUACAUUAUAAUAAUAAAUUCUCAUCCAGAGAU